GAAAUGCGAUAAGUAGUGUGAAUUGCAGAAUUCAGUGAAUCAUCGAAUCUUUGAACGCAUAUUGCGCCCCUUGGUAUUCCAUGGGGCAUGCCUGUUCGAGCGUCAUUUGUACCCUCAAGCUCUGCUUGGUGUUGGGUGUUUGUCCCCGUCUCCGCGCGUGGACUCGCCCCAAAGUGAUUGACAGCCGGCGUACUGGUCCCGGAGCGCAGCACAUGUCGCGCAAACGAGUGCCUUGGUACGGCGGCGUCCAUAAGCCCCUCUCUCACGCUCUUGACCUCGGAUCAGGUAGGGAUACCCGCUGAACUUAAGC
rnacentral:misc_RNA from 1 species